AUUGAACGCUGGCGGCAGGCCUAACACAUGCAAGUCGAACGAGUGGCGGACGGGUGAGUAAUGUCUGGGAAACUGCCCGCUGGAGGGGGAUAACUACUGGAAACGGUAGCUAAUACCGCAUACCAUCGGAUGUGCCCAGAUGGGAUUAGCUAGUAGGGGGGGUAACGGCUCACCUAGGCGACGAUCCCUAGCUGGUAUGAGAGGAUGACCAGCCACACUGGAACUGAGACACGGGCGAGGCUCCUACGGGACGCAGCAGUGGGGAAUAUUGAACAAUGGGCGCAAGCCUGAUGCAGCCAUGCCGCGUGUAUGAAGAAGGCUUGCGGGUUGUAAAGUACUGUCAGCGAGGAGGCGUUACUCGCAGAGGAUGCACCGGCUAACUCCUUGCCAGCAGCCGCGGUAAUU
rnacentral:rRNA from 1 species